rnacentral:tRNA from 1 species
GGUGGGUUGGCUCAGUGGUUAGAGCGUACGUAUCGUAACCGAGAGGUUGCGGGAUCGAAUCCCGCUAGAGGCUG